rnacentral:rRNA from 1 species
AUUGAACGCUGGCGGCAGGCCUAACACAUGCAAGUCGAACGAGUGGCGGACGGGUGAGUAAUGUCUGGGAAACUGCCUGAAGGAGGGGGAUAACUACUGGAAAGGGUGGCUAAUACCGCAUGCCAGCAGAUGUUCCCAGAUGGUAUUAGCUUGUGGGUGGGGUAACGGCUCACCAAGGCGACGAGCCCUAGCUGGCCUGAGAGGAUGACCAGCCACACUGGAACUGAGACACGGCCCAGACUCCUACGGGAGGCAGCAGUGGGGAAUCUUGCACAAUGGGCGCAAGCCUGAUGCAGCCAUGCCGCGUGUAUGAAGAAGGCCUUCGGGUUGUAAAGUACUUUCAGCGGGGAGGCGUUACCCGAAGAAAAAGCACCGGCUAACUCCGUGCCAGCAGCCGCGGUAAUUC